rnacentral:lncRNA from 1 species
CUUAUGUGCAUUUUGAGUGCCUGGGUCUUAUGUGCAUUUUGUCUUUGCAGAUGAAAUGGUCAAGAUGAGUGAAAUGAUGGAGAAUGUGGAGUUGCUCACAGGAAAAAAAGUGAAUGCUGAUCAAAUAGGUGAUGUUUUGGAAGACAUAGGGAUAGCUCUCACACUUAAGGAACUCUGGGACCUGAAGAAGACUCUACCAAUUACCUGUGAGCAUUUCCAAUUCGAACUCAGCUUCGGGGAGGCAGGGGUUGAACAUGUGCAUUGUGGGGGCUAGCUUGGAGUCAUUGAGUAUACAUUACUCAUAAGUUUGCAUUCAACACAUAUUGAGUAUGUCAUAAAUGAUAAGGUUAAAGCCACAAGUCUUUGCUUCCAUGGAGACGAUUUGACAUAGGGUCUUACUCUAUUGGGACUGAAUUUGAGAACUCCUUAAGAAAGAAAUUAAUUCAUGAAUCGAGAUCUGACUACAAGUUUUUGAGUUGGGACAUUAGUUCUGUAAUGUCUGAUAACCCUGAAGCACGAAGAAAUUAAGGACAGGAGAGGAAGCAAGACGAACGGAACAUGUUAGAUCAGUAUCAGCCUAACAAAGUGGGACAUUUAAAACAGCCAACCCUUCACGUUAUUGGUAAAGCUAAGUUGAAGAAAGUUGUAUGUAUAAGACUGAAUACACCACAUCUACAAGGUCACUGCCUUCGUGGUGGUGGUCCACAGUCACGUUAUGGGUGCCAGUACUGCUUGGUCUGUGACACUGACUGUGUCUUCUAUUACAGCGGAUAAUAAAGUGUACCAGAACCGAUUGUUGGAUAGUUUAAAAACUUUUCACAGUGAGUAACAAGUACAAUGCCAAGUAAAACAAGCCUUCAAGUUUGUUUCUUUCUGAAAAGUCAACUUAUUACUUAAUGGUAGCCAUAGCCUGUUUCUGCUCAGGGUUUUUCCACCGCACUCCUCUGUCUCUCACGAAUACUACAGGCCAUAGCUCCAUUCUGGCCUUCUCCCACCUAAGUUGCACUGAUCCUCUUGCCUUGAUCUCACAACUUGAACAUGGAAACAUUUCUCACCCCUAGUGUUAUAGUCUAUAGUUUAUCAGGAUUUUUUAACCGCACUUUAUGUCUUUUAUUUUAAAUUUAUGGAGAUAAUCUGAAGGUUUCAAACCUGGCAGCCACAGUUAUGGUUGCUUCUGACAUCUCUACUAUGGAUAAGGAACAGCUAACAAGCCUUGGCCACUCCUGUUUCGCCAGACAUCUACUAAAAAUGUUGGCAGCAUGUCUCGUGACAUGUAUCCUUUCACACCCUUCACCCCCCCCCCCGCCACUUGCUUUUAUUCUUUCUUUAAACAUUCACAGCCUUGCUUUCUUUUCACCUGUAUGACCCAAUCCCUGGAACUAAGUAGAAUUUUAAACAUUGAAGUGUAAUUUUACAUUUUUUUCUUAUUUUGUCUAUUCCUUUCUCAAGGAGGAAAAGGUUAUACAAAUAAACUAGACAGCAUCAUGGAUCACCUGAACUACAAUGUUGAGGAAAAAGACAUGAAGGAACUACGGAACUACUUGAAAGUCGACGGUAUUUUAUUUACCACUAUGACUUCCUUUAAGAGGAAUCACAGAACUCUUCUGGUAGACUCUCUAGGGGGAUUCCCAGUCAAGUGUACUUAGGAA